GUUUGCAGACACGGAGUGCUACUCAAAGCUCUUAAUGUGCCGGGGAGUAAUAUUUUCUUAUCCACCUAUACCUGCAGAAGGAGCUUCAAGCAGCCACAAACGGAGAGUUCUUUUGAACAGAUAUUGCUUGCAAGUAUUGGCCAUACCUUGAGAAGGUGUCAGUCUCCAUGUUGGAACUCAGACCUUUACUGCAGAUGAGACCUUUCCUUUCUGUCAUGCAUGCCAAGGCUCAUUCAACCAAGUGUCAGGUGUCACACAUUUGUUAGAUAAUCUGACAAAAAUCAGGAAGGUGCUGGUACAACUGCAGUUGUGGAGGUCGAAAUGGUCAACAGCAACCUGUCUCGUUGUGGCCUCACAACCAAGUAUCUGCCAGGAAUGACAUGCUAACUGUCCAUGCUAUUGGGUGGAACCAACGGAAGCAAGAAGGCCUUCAGCAUUAUCCAGCAGAUACAUCAAG